UGUCUGUCAGUUUGCCGCUGCUGCUCGGCUUCUGCAGUCUGCUUCGGUCGCUCCUCUAGUAAUGGCUUUUAUAUGUAUUAUCUGACUGUUAAAUUCGUAUUUUGAGUGAGUUUGUGUUGUGGGAUGACGACUGAGAACGAAUAAACGCGAAUAUGGACACUUCUACCAGCAGCUAACAGACAAGCAAACUGCAAAAGAGAGGACCUGAACGCAUGAUCCUUGGACUCCUUGGAGAAGAAUACUGUAUGUAAACCAGGAUCAGCUGUGAAGAUUUUGUAUGGAGCUGAAGUUUUGGAAAUGAAAAUCUUCUAUACCACAUGAUCUUUAGAGGAACUAAUCCAGCUGAUUACUGGCAAUUUGGAGGAGGACUGCUCUUUAUCUGCUGUGUCGGUCACUUCUGGCCAUGGACCUUUUGUUGUAUGUUUUGGUUUUACUUAUUACACUAAUAUAGCUAGAUUUCAGAAUUAAAAUACAUAUGUUUGUCUACAUAUAUUAUCAGAGCUACAGUGGUGCCCAAAAUUAUGAUGAGGUCAUGAGUACAUAACAUAAGUUUUAUAU